UCCUCCUUAGCUCAGUUGGUUAGAGCAUCUGACUGUUAAUCAGAGGGUCGCUGGUUCGAGCCCAGCAGGAGGAGCMA
rnacentral:tRNA from 1 species